rnacentral:tRNA from 1 species
GCACCCGUAGCUCAAUUGGAUAGAGCAUCGGUCUUCGGAACCGAAGGUUGUAGGUUCGAGCCCUACCGGGUGCA